GGAAGGGUUGUAUUUAUUAGAUAAAGAAACAAUGCAGCUGGUGAUUCAUAAUAACUUUACGGAUCGCAUCUCUGAUGCGACAUAUCAUUCAAGUUUCUGACCUAUCAGCUUUAGACGGUAGGGUAUUGGCCUACCGUGGCUAUGACGGGUAACGGGGAAUUAGGGUUCGAUUCCGGAGAGGGAGCCUGAGAAACGGCUACCACAUCUAAGGAAGGCAGCAGGCGCGCAAAUUACCCAAUCCUGACACAGGGGGGGUGACAAGAAAUAACAAUACAGAGCCUAACGUAGCUUGUAAUUAAGAUGAGUGAAGUAUAAACCCCUUUACGAGUAUCCAAUUGGAGGGCAUGUCUAAUGCCAGCAGCCGCGGUAAUUCCAGCUCCAAUAGCGUAUAUUAAAGUUGUUGCAGUUAAAAAGCUCGUAGUUGGAUUUCUGUUGUAUAAUUUAUGAAUAUUACCAAGGUAAUUAUUAUAUUAUCAACAUCCUUCCUAUUAUAUUCUAAAUAUAUAGGAAAUUUUACUUUGAGAAAAUUAGAGUGCUUAAAGCAGGCAACUGCUUUGAAUACUCUAGCAUGGAAUAAUAAGUAAGGACUUUUGUCUUUCUUAUUGGUUCUAGGACAAAAGUAAUGGUUAAUAGGGACAGUUGGGGGCAUUCGUAUUUAACAGCCAGAGGUGAGAUUCUUAGAUUUGUUAAAGACGAACUACUGCGAAAGCAUUUGCCAAGGAUGUUUUCAUUAAUCAAGAACGAAAGUUAGGGGAUCGAAGACGAUCAGAUACCGUCGUAGUCUUAACCAUAAACUAUGCCGACUAGAGAUUGGAGGUUGUUCCUUACUCCUUCAGCACCUUAUGAGA
rnacentral:rRNA from 1 species